rnacentral:rRNA from 1 species
GACAAAAUGCUUGAUAAAAGACUGUACUAAGAUCUAACACAAGUAGGAUAAGAAAAGGGUAGGAAUAAUUGGUCUUAAGGAACUCGGCAAAUUGUUUACUGUAACUUAGGGAUAAGGACACUAGACACUGCUAU